rnacentral:misc_RNA from 1 species
GAGUUGUUGAGUUAACCCCUUGAACCUAGCUAAAUCUUGCACUAGCAGAUUGUUUUAUCAGAUGAAAUGCGGAACUGUGAUUUAGAGGAAUUACUUGUUGUCUCUAGGAACUGGAAAUGGGAGUUCAAACUCCUCUUAAUUAACAAAAAUUUUGGUGAUGAAAACCAUAUGGGUCGGAAUCUUGUGAUGAUUGGGUAUUACUUUCAAGUGUUAUUCAACAGUAUUUGCAAUGGAAUUCAAAUUUAGGAAUAUUGUGUUUUAUGGCAACAUUUGUGCUCUUGUUAGACAUUGCUCAGAGUAAGACCAUUUUAGAGUUGCAAUGGUGAAGCUCGCCAUGCAAUGAAUUGUAGUCAAUAUUGUUGUCAUUCUGCAUUUCCCUGCAGCACUAAUUAAGUAUCUAGAAUAAGGAUAAUUUACGCUCAUUUUAAUUGGGGCAUCCAAAAACACUGCCUCUCAGCAAAUAUAAAAC